CUGACUCCACCCAGCAAGGUUCGGAGGUGAGCUUCAUUUCAGCUGUGAUUACAGAGGCACUGCUGAGACUGGGCCUAGCAGAUCUCCACUGAUUGUUUGCCAGGCACUGGGUGUUGUUACAGAGCGGGACUGCUGAGCUGGCUAUCUUGGAAUUUAUAAACAGUCCUCAAAAGAUGAAUUGUGCUUGUGCAGACAUCUUUCUUUUCUCCAUACACAAGAUUGUGAUGACACAUUUUUAAUGCCUCUUGAUAUUGGUAUCUUGUUUUAUCUACUACCAAUAAAAGAUUUCUGACCUGCAGACAAGUGAAGUCUUCUGCACAUUCAGAUUAUGUCUUCGUCCUCUGAGGAAUUUAUGAUGUCUUGGAAGCCAGUUGCAGGACCUGGUUGUAGAAGGGAUCAAUCAUUUCGAUACAUGGAGUCUUGGAAAGAGCUAUCUAUUUUCUUCAAUGAAAGUAAUUCAACCUUUCACUCUCCUGUGAGUCACUGAGCAAAUAGUCCAGCAGAUGGAUCUGAGGUUCCUUCAGACUUACAAGCUCCUGAUGAUUCUCACCACGCUCAUUAACCUUAUGCUUUUGAAAAGAAACGCAGUCCGCUGGCUGAAGACUUUCUAUAUUGACAUUUCUGGAGCCACUAUAGUUGAAGGAAAAAAUACCAUUUGCUUUUCAUGGGAAAGU